rnacentral:rRNA from 1 species
GAUGAACGCUGGCGGCGUGCCUAAUACAUGCAAGUCGAGCGAAGCGGGGACAGGUGAGUAACACGUGGAUAACCUCCUAUAAGUCCGGGAUAACUUGGGGAAACCGGUGCUAAACCUGCUACUUAGGUAUGGAUCCGCGCUGCAUUAGCUAGUUGGUGAGGUAACGGCUUACCAAGGCAACGAUGCAUAGCCGACCUGUGAGGGUGAUCGGCCACACUGGGACUGAGACACGGUCCAGACGCCUACGGGAGGCAGCAGUAGGGAAUCUUCCGCAAUGGGCGAAAGCCUGACGGAGCAACGCCGCGUGAGUGAUGAAGGUCUUCGGAUCGUAAAACUCUGUUAUUAGGGAAGCGGUAUCUAAACAGAAAGCCACGGCUAACUACGUGCCAGCAGCCGCGGUAAUUC